CGAAUACGAGAUGCUAAGGCGUCGAAGUAGUGUAUGUCAUACUUCCAAGAAAAGCUUGCACUGUCAUAGAUAAAAAAUGCCUGUACCAUAACCGACACAGGUGGGUAAGUAGAGUAUACUAAGGGGCGCGAGAUAACUCUCUCUAAGGAACUCGGCAAAAUAACUCCGUAACUUCGGGAGAAGGAGUGCCUUAUUCUUAAGGUUGCAAUAACAAGAUCCAAGCAACUGUUUAUCAAAAACACAGGUCUCCGCUAAGUCGUAAGACGAUGUAUGGGGGCUGACGCCUGCCCAGUGCCAGAAGGUUAAAGAAGUUGGUUAGCAAUUGCGAAGCUGGUAACUGAAGCCCUGGUGAACGGCGGCCGUAACGAUAACGGUCCUAAGGUAGCGAAAUUCCUUGUCGGGUAAGUUCCGACCCGCACGAAAGGCGUAAUGAUUUGGAUGCUGUCUCGGAGAGGGGCUCGGUGAAAUAGACUUGUCUGUGAAGAUGCGGACUACCUGCACCAGGACAGAAAGACCCUAUGAAGCUUUACUGUAACUUGAAAUUGAAAUUGGACUUUAUUUGCGCAGUAUAGGUGGGAGGCGUUGAUUAUAAUCUGGCGGGAUUAUUGGAGCCAUCAGUGAGAUACCACUCUUGUAAUGUUAGAUUUCUAACUUUGAAUCAUUACCUGGUCAAAGGACAAUUUCAGGCGGGCAGUUUGACUGGGGCGGUCGCCUCCUAAAUGGUAACGGAGGCGUACAAAGGUUUCCUCUGAACGGUUAGAAAUCGUAUCUAGAGUGUAAAGGCAUAAGGAAGCUUGACUGUGAGACCUACAAGUCGAGCAGGGACGAAAGUCGGUCUUAGUGAUCUGACGGUACUGAGUGGAAAGGCCGUCACUCAACGGAUAAAAGUUACUCUAGGAUAACAGGCUGAUCUCCCCCAAGAGUUCACAUCGACGGGGAGGUUUGGCACCUCGAUGUCGGCUCAUCGCAUCCUGGGGCGGUAGUACGUCCCAAGGGUUGGGCUGUUCGCCCAUGAAAGCGGUACGCGAGCUGGGUUCAGAACGUCGUGAGACAGUUCGGUCCAUAUCCGGUGUAGGCGUUAGAAUAUUGAGAGGAGCCUUCUUUAGUACGAGAGGACCGAGAAGGACAUACCUCUGGUGUACCAGUUAUCGUGCCAACGGUAAACGCUGGGUAGCUAUGUAUGGAGUGGAUAACCGCUGAAAGCAUCUAAGUGGGAAGCCCACCUCAAGAUAAGUAUUC
rnacentral:rRNA from 1 species